rnacentral:rRNA from 1 species
UACGGAGGGUCCAAGCGUUGUCCGGAUUUAUUGGGUUUAAAGGGUACGUAGGCGGGACUUUAAGUCAGUGGUGAAAGCCUCCAGCUUAACUGGAGAAUUGCCAUUGAAACUGAAGUUCUUGAGUAUGGAUGAGGUGGUUGGAAUAUAACAUGUAGCGGUGAAAUGCAUAGAUAUGUUAUAGAACACCAAUUGCGAAGGCAGAUCACUAAACCAUUACUGACGCUGAGGUACGAAAGCGUGGGGAGCGAACAGG